AUUUAGCCCAUUGCUGAAUGGGAAUCAAGGCAAUUCUGGAUUAUUUCUUCAGGGUGGAGAGGAUGGAUUAGAGGAAAGCAAAAGCUGAAGAGAGGUAGCUGUGUUACGAAGCCAUCUCUAAACUAUAAAAGCCAUGGCAAGAGCUUGAAUGAGGCAGGGGCAGAAAGAAAAAGGAGGCCAACCCUUUGGAGCUGGAGAAUGCAGACGUAGGCUC
rnacentral:lncRNA from 1 species